CGUCAGAUGUGUAUAAGAGACAGGUGAAUCAUCGAAUCUUUGAACGCACAUUGCGCCCUCUGGUAUUCCGGAGGGCAUGCCUGUUCGAGCGUCAUUAUGACCAAAUCACCUUCUGGUGGACUUGGAGCUGGCCGUUAGGCCUCUCUCAAAAUCAGUGGCGGUGCUAGUAAGCUCUACGCGUAGUAAUUUUUCUCGCGACAGUGCCUUGCUAGUCCUUGCCAGCAACCCCAAUUUUUUUUAAGGUUGACCUCGGAUCAGGUAGGGAUACCCGCUGAACUUAAGCAUAUCAAUAAGCGGAGG
rnacentral:misc_RNA from 1 species